AGCAGCCGCGGUAAUUCCAGCUCCAAUAGCGUAUAUUAAAGUUGUUGCAGUUAAAAAGCUCGUAGUUGAAUUUCGGGACCAGACUGUCGGUCGUGCCUCGGUACGCACUGGCAUUAUUGGUUUCUCCCUUCUGACGAACCAUGAUGUCAUUUAUUUGGUGUCGUGGGGAAUCAGGACUGUUACUUUGAAAAAUUAGAGUGUUUAAAGCAGGCGCACGCUUGAAUACAUUAGCAUGGAAUAAUGAAAUAGGACGUUUGAUUCUAUUUUGUUGGUUUCUAGGAUCGACGUAAUGAUUAAUAGGGAUAGUUGGGGGCAUUAGUAUUCAAUUGUCAGAGGUGAAAUUCUUGGAUUUAUUGAAGACUAACUACUG
rnacentral:rRNA from 1 species